UGGGGAAUCUUGCACAAUGGGGGCAACCCUGAUGCAGCGACGCCGCGUGAGCGAUGAAGCCCUUCGGGGCGUAAAGCUCUUUCGACCGGAACGAUAAUGACGGUACCGGGAGAAGAAGCUGCGGCUAACUACGUGCCAGCAGCCGCGGUAAUACGUAGGCAGCAAGCGUUGUUCGGAGUUACUGGGCGUAAAGAGUGCGUAGGCGGUUUUCUAAGUUCGGUGUGAAAUCUCCCGGCUUAACUGGGAGGGUGCGCCGAAGACUGGGAAGCUGGAGUGUGGGAAAGGCAGGCGGAAUUCCUGGUGUAGCGGUGAAAUGCGUAGAUAUCAGGAGGAACACCGGCGGUGUAGACGGCUUGCUAGACCAUAAGUGACGCUGAGGCACGAAAGCGUGGGUAGCAAACA
rnacentral:rRNA from 1 species